UGCAAGUCGAGCGGAAACGAGUUAUCUGAACCUUCGGGGRACGAUAACGGCGUCGAGCGGCGGACGGGUGAGUAAUGCCUAGGAAAUUGCCCUGAUGUGGGGGAUAACCAUUGGAAACGAUGGCUAAUACCGCAUAAUGCCUACGGGCCAAAGAGGGGGACCUUCGGGCCUCUCGCGUCAGGAUAUGCCUAGGUGGGAUUAGCUAGUUGGUGAGGUAAUGGCUCACCAAGGCGACGAUCCCUAGCUGGUCUGAGAGGAUGAUCAGCCACACUGGAACUGAGACACGGUCCAGACUCCUACGGGAGGCAGCAGUGGGGAAUAUUGCACAAUGGGCGCAAGCCUGAUGCAGCCAUGCCGCGUGUGUGAAGAAGGCCUUCGGGUUGUAAAGCACUUUCAGUCGUGAGGAAGGUGGURGWGUUAAUAGCWSUAUYAUUUGACGUUAGCGACAGAAGAAGCACCGGCUAACUCCGUGCCAGCAGCCGCGGUAAUACGGAGGGUGCGAGCGUUAAUCGGAAUUACUGGGCGUAAAGCGCAUGCAGGUGGUUUGUUAAGUCAGAUGUGAAAGCCCGGGGCUCAACCUCGGAAUAGCAUUUGAAACUGGCAGACUAGAGUACUGUAGAGGGGGGUAGAAUUUCAGGUGUAGCGGUGAAAUGCGUAGAGAUCUGAAGGAAUACCGGUGGCGAAGGCGGCCCCCUGGACAGAUACUGACACUCAGAUGCGAAAGCGUGGGGAGCAAACAGGAUUAGAUACCCUGGUAGUCCACGCCGUAAACGAUGUCUACUUGGAGGUUGUGGCCUUGAGCCGUGGCUUUCGGAGCUAACGCGUUAAGUAGACCGCCUGGGGAGUACGGUCGCAAGAUUAAAACUCAAAUGAAUUGACGGGGGCCCGCACAAGCGGUGGAGCAUGUGGUUUAAUUCGAUGCAACGCGAAGAACCUUACCUACUCUUGACAUCCAGAGAACUUUCCAGAGAUGGAUUGGUGCCUUCGGGAACUCUGARACAGGUGCUGCAUGGCUGUCGUCAGCUCGUGUUGUGAAAUGUUGGGUUAAGUCCCGCAACGAGCGCAACCCUUAUCCUUGUUUGCCAGCGAGUAAUGUCGGGAACUCC
rnacentral:rRNA from 1 species